rnacentral:misc_RNA from 1 species
ACAAAGUCAAAUUAUAACAAUGUAUACACAUAAAAACUCCCAAAUAUUACAUAUAACUUCCACUACCAAAUUACAUAUAUAUUCAUCAAUCCUUAAUACCACACUUCAUCAAAUAACUUCAUGAAUUCAAGCAUUCUUCAGCAAGUCAUAAGGCUCUCAAAAAUAGUAUCAUCCAAUAACUCAUCAAACCUCAAAAUUUCUUUCAUAAUUUAACACACCAUAACCUCUACUACAACUUUAAUGA